AUGCUUGAGGGCAAUGCGAAAAAUUGGUCAUUUACCACACAACUCAUUUUAGAACAGCAUUACGAAACUCUGAUUGAUGAAGCUUUACAGAAUGUUCGUACACAGAACAACCACCAUGAUUGGCCAAAGGCAUUUGAGAUAGCUGCCGGCUGGGCUUAUAGAAAUUUUCACAGUCGAAUCACUCCAGAGUCAAUUGAGCAGGCUGAAGCUCUUAUCACGGCGGAAAUGCCAAGCUCUUCUAUUACACUCAGAGCUGGGACUGCACAUGCACCGACCUACGCAGAAGUAGUGACACGGGGCGGACACGCAUCCACCAGCGGUGUAGCUACCACCACACAGACAGCUUGCACCACAGUUUUACCACCACGAGUAACACGUGCACCUGUCACUACCACUGCACAGUUUGCAGGUACCACAAUAACACCACCACGACUAACCACCAUUGACCCACUGAUUCGACCCCAGAUUAUAUCGCAUACUAUUGAGAUUCAGACUUCUCCGGGUUUAUUAGUUAGAGGGGAUUGGCCACUUGAUGAGGAAAUACCUGCGGCAGGCCUCCAAGAAACGCUCCAGCCCAUACAGGCUAUUGAACCCCUUCUUGCUCAGGAGGUAGAAAACACACGAGAGGUAGAACCCCAGCCCAUACAGGUACCAGAUCUCUCCCUCAUUCAAAUGACAGAACCCCCUCCUCUCGAACAAAGACCAACUAAAAAAGCCCGAAAAGAGAAGCACUGUAAGGACAUCCUGCCCCCUCUGGAGGGGCCAACACGGGUUACUGUUCCUGCUGAGGUGGACCGACAAACAGGUUUCACCGGCCCCCAGCAGCUAGAGGGACCUGUGGUGGCCCUUUUGGCUCCGGUUGGUGAGGAGGACUCAUAUCCUUGUCCCUUUCAAAAGGCGGGGUCGACUCACUCCAGCGACCUUCUUCUCUCUGACCACUCAGACCAACAACUUGAGCCAUCUGCACUUUUAACUGACUUUUUAAUGGAAGCAGCACAACAGAUCGGGGAGUCGGAACAUCGGGAAACAGCAUCUGAACACUCAUCACCUGAAUUGCCUAGACUUGCACCCAUAUUUACCAGGGCCCCCAGCAGUUAG
rnacentral:lncRNA from 1 species